rnacentral:rRNA from 1 species
CUACGGGCGGCUGCAGUGGGGAAUAUUGGACAAUGGGGGAAACCCUGAUCCAGCAAUGCCGCGUGUGUGAAGAAGGCCUGCGGGUUGUAAAGCACUUUCGGUUGGGAGGACUGCUUCUAGCACUAAUAUUGUUGGAAGUUGACGUUACCUUCAGAAGAAGCACCGGCUAACUCCGUGCCAGCAGGCCGCGGUAAUACGGAGGGUGCAAGCGUUAAUCGGAAUUACUGGGCGUAAAGCGCGCGUAGGCGGCUAGAUCAGUCGGGUGUGAAAGCCCCGGCUUAACCUGGGAACUGCAUCCGAUACUGUCUAGCUUGAGUACAGGAGAGGAGAGUGGAAUUCCACAUGUAGCGGUGAAAUGCGUAGAUAUGUGGAGGAACACCAAUGGCGAAGGCAGCCCUCUGGCCUGAUACUGACGCUGAGGUGCGAAAGCGUGGGGAGCAAACAGGAUUAGAUACCCCCGUAGUC